rnacentral:rRNA from 1 species
UACGGGGGGAGCAAGCGUUGUUCGGAUUUACUGGGCGUAAAGGGCGCGUAGGCGGUCGUGACAAGUCACUUGUGAAAUCUCGGGGCUCAACCCCGAAACUGCACUUGAUACUGCCUUGCUAGAGUACUGGAGAGGAGAUUGGAAUUUACGGUGUAGCAGUGAAAUGCGUAGAUAUCGUAAGGAAGACCAGUGGCGAAGGCGAAUCUCUGGACAGUUACUGACACUGAGGCACGAAAGCCAGGGGAGCAAACGGG